GUCCAGCUGCCUCGCCCUUAAAAUGACAGGGCAGCCGCGGCUCCGCUCAGAGCCCCCUCUCGGCUGCUGGCCCGGGCUCGCCCGCGCCGCCGGGGCUCUGACUCAGCCGCAGCCCGGCCGCUCCCGCCGAGCCGGGCCUGGGCAGCGCCCCCCGCGCCUCGCGCGCCCGCGCCCCCGGCACCGGAAAACGCCGUAGCCAGCGAUCCGCGGUCGCCCUGGGCUCGGCACCGGCCCAGCCAAGACCCCGGGAGCGCACGGGACGGGCCUCGCCAGUUACACUCCAGCGCCCCCACCAGCCAGCACAGCGCCUGCUCUCAGUGAACAGCCACUGCUCUCCAUGGGCGACCCCCAUGAUGCCUGACCACUCCCUGUGCCUCCUGGAACAGCCAGGGUCCUUAUGAAGUGGUGACCACUCCAGUCAGCAGGGGUGGAAAAUGGUACCAGUCAAGCCCGAGGCAGAGGAGGAGCAGCCCGCAGUCGCUGCCACGAGAUGGAGGAGCCCACGCCCGAGCCCGUCUAUGUCGACGUGGACAAAGGGCUGACCUUGGCCUGCUUCGUCUUCCUCUGCCUCUUCCUUGUCGUGAUGAUCAUCCGCUGUGCCAAGGUCAUCAUGGACCCUUACAGUGCCAUCCCCACAUCCACCUGGGAGGAGCAGCACCUGGACGACUGAGGCACAGCGGCGGUGGAGACUGGACCUGGCAAUCUGCGGGUGGCUGUGCCCCAGGAUGCACCCAUGUGUCCCCUGCCAGCCUGCCAUCCCACAGAGGCAAGGAAUGAAUCUGGUCACCCAGGGAAGGAGAAAGUGCAACUUAGCCCUGUCAGCCCUCCCUCGAGCACCAGCGUGGAAUGCCCGGCUGCCAUGGGUGUCACAACCAUGGAGCAGCCAGGGGAAAAGAGCCCUGGACCAGGACCCAGGAGGCUGGGGUUCCAGUGUGGGGAGUCACUGUGAGAUGAUGGGGUAGUCACCUUCCCAGGCUCGUGGGCACCUUUUGGAAUUGGAUCCAGCAACAGACACCCCCCAGCCAUCACACAACAGUGGUCUUGCCUUGAGGAGACUCUCUGUCCUUAAAAUACAAAGUAGCACAUUGGAGGCUUCCAACCAAGAGGUCCCACCUGAACCCCAGCCCCUCCCCACGGACCAACAAUGGUGUGGCAGUGACGGGGGAAAGCAGGUUGAGGGAGUCUCACCUGAAAAUUCAUGAAGGGCACAGGAUAUGGGCUGCUUCCAAGCAGUAUUUUUUUAAACUAAAAUAUAGAGGGAUAUAUUUUUCCUGUUAUAAAUAAAAUGUACGUUUUAGAAACUUGGGAAAAUGCAGAUAAAUAGAAAGAAAGGGAGGGAAAUAACACUUAAUAAUUCCACCUCCCAGAAACCACCAUUUUGAUAUAUUUUCUUCCAGCCUUUUUACUUGUAUUUUUUAGUCAAAUUCAUACUCCAUGCAUGGUGUUGUAUCACUUCAUAUGGUAGCAUGAAUAUUCCCCACAACAUCAAACACUCUUCUUAGCUGCCAGUUUCAGUGACUGAAGGGUCACUUCAGUCACUACCCAACCAUCAGUUGGGUAGGUCAUGGUUAAAAAAUCAUCUCCUUUGGUUGUACAUUUAAUUUUUUUCACUAAUUUUUCCUCACACAAAAAUUAUUUCACCCAGUAACCUUUCUGAGGGUGCACAGUCCAUGAGAUAAAUAUUGAAUGGGGAGAUCUGUGUUCUAGUCCCACAUUUAUCAGUCAGGUUACAAUGUGACCUUGAGCAAAUCACUUCACCUCCCAGUGCCUCAGUUUCCUCAUUGUAAGAUAGGAAAAGCCUUGUCAUUUUAAAAUGUUUAUUUUUUGCAUAUACCUCGUGAACAAAAGGACAGAAAGGGGAGUGAAUGUGCUAUAAAUUUGCUAUAGUCGGAGGUGGGGGGCAAGGAAGAAGUUAUUGAUGAUGACUCUUCUCGGGCCCUCCCUCCUCCCACCUCCUUCUGCCCUCGACCCCACUCCCACUCCAUCACCUACAUCCAUGACCUUGCAGCAAAAUUAUUAGAGCAGAGUCUACAAAACUGGUCCCAGGUCCCAAUUCCUCUACGUCCCUGUUAUAGCACCCCAGAUAACUCACUUAGCCUCUCUGAGCCCCAAUUUCCUCAUCUGUAAAGUGAGGGAAUAACAUCUACCUCACAAGGUUGUUGUGAGGAUGAAAUGAGAGAACAUGGGCAAACAUGAAUGUUCUUGAGUUCACCACCCCAGGAGAAGCCAGGGGUCUGAGCUGGGAGGAGUGCCCCCUGCCCCUACAGAGCCUGGAAUCCUCAGCUUUCCUCAACUUCCGAGGGCUACUUCCUACAGGCCAAAUCUCCCAGCCAGAACCACUUGAUCAGAGGAAUAGUCACAGCAGCCUUCCCUAGCACCUGACCUCAAGGGAUGUGGUGUCUUCCAAUUUACGUAAUUGCCAGUGUCAUCAGUUUUCCCGUAACAUGAUAUGAAGUUAAACAAGAGCACCUGAGCUCCCCUUCCUCUGAGUGCGUUUAUUCUGUCCCUCCAAAGUGUGGCCUUCCAUCCCCAUCCAAGAGACCUGCAGCUGUGAAGAAGCUCAAGACUUCUCAUUGUCAGCCCCCCAGCCAUUAGUCCCCACCACAGCCCAGGCCACCUGGAAAAUGGGUUUCCAAAGCACUAUCACUACUAGGUGAUCCCUGAAUGCGGACAAGGCCACAGCUGUUCAGGCAGCAUUUCAGGGGAUAUCCAGUUGUCAUCCCUCUCCUACCCCUCUCCUACCCACCCCUAUCCCCACUAUUGUGGGAUGCACAAAGGGACAGCUGGCAAUGGCAGUGAACCAAGAUGCAGGGAAGGCCCUGUAUAAUGAGGAGGAUCUAAAGCAAGACUCGUGUGCAUUGCCUCAGGUUCAGCAGCAGCAGCCCUCACUCUGAAGCCUACCUUGAGAUGCCAGGCACUUCUGUUAAAAAUCUCAUCAGUAUGCAUUUACAAUGUAAACUAGAACCAACUCCCAGUAAGCUAAUAACAGACCCCAGGAACAAGAAAAGGUCUUCCAGACCGCCCCUGGACACACUUUAGAACCCUCAGGGGUGAAAAAGAGGGUGCUCCAGGGCAGUGCAACUUAACCUGUGGUUGAAGGACAAACAGCCUCUGCAAUACUUGAGGAGCUCGUUAGAAACCCAAACUCACAGCCCCCUCCAGACCAACGUACAGAAUGUACAUUAGCAAGAUUCCCUAGGUGGUUUCUAUGCACCUUAAAGUUUAGGAAGCACUGCCUGAGAAUCCCUUGGUCCUAAUUAAUUCUUUUCCACACUCAGAUUCGCUAAUGGGUUUCACCUUAUCUCUUGACUCUUGUUUGAUGGCAACGGGAAAUAGUAACAUUUCAGGAAGGGUGGAAAAUAUAAAAAGCACUCCCAACCCAAGCCUCCAAAAAACAGCAAUUUUAAUUUGUGUCCAUAUAUUGCCUUCUAAUCAUUGUCCUCAUGCAAGAUUUUUUUUCAUAAAGAUGAUCUGCUAUAUAAUUUUAUAUCAUACUCUUUCUCCUAAUAUUACAUCAUAAGUAUACUUUCGUGUUGCUACUACAUUCUUCACACUUGUCAUUUUAAUGGCCAUAAAACAUGACAUCUAGUACACAUAUAUAAUUAUGUAGCUUCCUAUUAUUAAAUACUUGGAUUUCUUCCAUUUUCCCUAUUAUACAUGUUCCAAGCAAAAAAGAAAGGUUAAAAUACAUAUGAUGAAGGCAGGGUGCUUGCUUAGGACAGGGGAGAAUAAAUAUUUACUAUACACUCCCUCCAUCUAAGAGACACAUGGAGCACAGCGGGGAGGGAGACCUAUCUAAGAACUGGAUCAUAUUAAGGAGAAAAAAGCAACUGGAAUCUCAGGCUUCAGUAGUUGCAUUAUGCUGCUGAAGCACAGAGGAGAUGGUCCUUUGUGACCAGAGCAUCUCAACUCGUUUCUGGCAAGCUGAGAUGAACUUUGGGGUUGUGGAUAGAAAGAUAAACUGAUCAGCAAAAGGAAUGAACAGAAGUCUUCAAGGCUAGAAGUUGGCAGAGAAGAAAUGAAAAGUAUUAAGAGAAUGGGAGGCCUGUGAAGUUGGCCAUAACCCAGGACUUAAGGAGAACACAGACUGGAGAAGAACUCUCCAAAGCAGAGAAUGGGUUGUGGGUUUUCCAGGCAGUGAUGCCUAGAGGCCAGUUUUAAGUUGUGGCUUGUACUGUGCUCAGCUACACUCCCUUCAUGUCGCCCCAAGCCCUCUCUGAAGUCUGAUAAACGAUCCACUCUGCAGCAGUGGUCUUUGGGACAAUGACCCACCUCGGUGGUGGGUCAUGUAGGGAAAUACGAUCUGGAAGGGGCCAGCAGUCCCACAGGCAAGUGGGGUAGCAGAAAUAUGCAGAACCAAGAGUUCAGAGUGAUGAUCACUAGAAGAAACGCAGCCCCUAAGGAUGCUCAGAGAGUUGGAUACAUAUAGUAGGACCCUAGCUUUACCAUCCUGGCAUAUCAUUCCCAUCAUAGAUAUUUCGUUUUUUUCUAAUUAGUUGCUCAAAUGUCUACAUGUUCUUAUUGAAUUGAAAACCAGUGUCUCCCUGUCUCAUUAAAUUUCCAGAACUUCAGAGGCUAAAUCAAUCCAAAAGGGGCCAGUCCUGCUUUCAAACACCAAGUGAAGAGAACUGCAAAGCUUGGUGUGUGCACUAGUGUGGUUUCAUACCACUAGGUCUUGCUGUUGAGGACUGGUUCUGCCAUACAUGAUCAAUGACCACCCACAAUGUCCUGUGGCCCAGCCUGUGGAGAGGUGCUCACACAGAGUUAUCUGGGUCCACAUCCACGUUCCCAGCUAUUCUGUCCAAUCAUAGCACAAAGACAGGUUGCCUGUAUCCAGAGGGACACACAGCCUCAGCCACACCAGCCCUUACUUAUGAGCUUGAUGGUCAUCAGCAAAGACUCUCUCCCUUUAGGAAGGUUCUCCUUGGGAGCUUUCAGUGUCUUGGCAGGAAAGAGAUGGCACGCACGAAGCACUGACUGAAGAUAGUUUAAUGAAAGAAUAUUUACAGAGUUUGGGCAAGGGUAUGGAAAGCAACAGGGAAGAGUAAAACACCCAGGGAUGGCCGGGCAAGGAAGCUCACGUCUGUAAUCCCAGCACUUUGGGAGGCCAAGGCAGGCGGACUGCUUGAGCCCAGGAGUUUGAAACCAGCCUGGCCAACAUAAGCAAGAACCUGUUUAUCUACAAAAAAUAAAAUGUUUUUUAAAAAAUUAGCUGGGUGUGGUGUUGCACACCUAUAGUCCCAGCUACUCAGGAGUCUGAGGUGGGAGGAUCACUCGAGUCCAGAAGUUUGAGGUUACAGUGAGCUAGGAUCACACUACUGCACUCCAGCCUGGGUGACAGAGAGAGACACUGUCUCUAAAAAUAAAAAACUAAAACAAACUACCCAGGGACAGGCAGGCCACAAACUAUUACCAUCUCAGCCUAGAGAGACAAGGAGGAGGAUCUAGAACCCAGGGAGAGCUACAGCCAUGGAGAAGGAGUCACCCGAUGGAAGCCCUGGUCACAGCUAGAGGAUCAAAACUCCUGCACCCACUGCAGCUCAGUAGGAAGAGAGCCAGGGGAAUAAAUACCUUGACCUCUUGCCUCCUGCCCUCCAGUCUCCUGUCUGGGUCUUCCACUGGCCAAAAACAACAGAAGCUAAAGGUCAGGGGACCCUGAGUGAUACGGUCCACAUAGGCAGCACACUGGAGCAAAAGAAGAAAACCCAGCACAAUUCAUCCUAUUACCACUUAGCAGCCAUUCACAAACUUUGCUUAGAUGGGAGAAAAAUAUUUUGUCCCCAGCACAGGGGAAACAUAAAAUCUCACCAGUCACCAUAUUGUCUGGGGGUGAUAGCAAUUUAGUCCCAUUCCCACCUGCAACUUAAAUCAUAAUGUAGCCACUCCUGGGUAAGUGGAACACUUCCUGUAAAGCACAACUGCUAGUGCCCCCUUCUGUGACUGAUCAUGGGGCCCAGAGUGGUAACUGUAGUCUUGUUCUCCCACCACCCAUUCCAUAGCCCUUUUACCUUCUGGCAGUCCCUUAGCUGUUGGAAAAUUUUAUUUGGUGGAAUGACCCAAAUCUUCAUCCACAGAGGAUUCAAAUUCUUGGUGCCCUGUCUUCAUUGAGUUGCCACAGUAUCCACAGAUUCCUAAAGAACAUGAAGAGGCCUUGAUGAUCUCACCUGGAAGCACUGUAAAAUUCUCAGAAAGAAUAACAGGUGCUCUAGGGCAACAACUACUAUGGUCCAAGGAUGGACAGCAUUGGCAUCUCUGGGGAGCCUGUUAGAAAUCUAAUUUCGUGCCCCCACCUCAGGCUUACAGAAUGAGGACAAGGGAUACAGGGAGUACCAAGUGCCCUAGUGAAUCCCAGGGUUCCAAAGCUAGUACUCCUUGCCCCUAUUGUGUAUCAGAAACCCUACUUUCCCUUGGAUAUUGGGGUGAACCAUCCUGACAGUGCAGUGAUCUCUUUCUCUGCCAAUGUUUCAACAUAAGGAGCCCCAGAUGGCACAAGAUCAUCUUCCAAUUUAACAGAUCCAUAACUAUACUCCCUGGUGGAAGCAGUUCCUCUUGGUCACUAGAGAUUUCCAAACCCACAAAACCUAAGGUUUCUUGUUUAAAGGCCACGUUUGUGGGAUAUACUGAGAUGAAUAUGCUGUGGUUUGAAUGUGUCCCCCAAAGUUCAUAUGUUGGAAACUUGAUUCCCAAUGCAACAGUGUUGAGAGGUGGGGCCCAAUGAGAGGUGAUUAGGCCAUGAGGGUGGAAUGAAUGGAUUAAUGCUGUUAUCUCGAGAGUGGGCUUGUUUUGAAAGGGGGUGUUUCGUCCCCUUUUCUCUCUUGCCUAUGUGAUUCAUUCCACCAUGUUUAUGAUGCAACAAGGUCCUCACCAAAUGCUGGUUCCUUGAUCUUGGAUUUUGCAGCCUCCAUAAUCGUGAGCCAAAUAAAUUUCUAUUCAUUAUAAA